rnacentral:rRNA from 1 species
UACGGGAGGCUGCAGUCGAGGAUCAUUCGCAAUGGGCGAAAGCCUGACGAUGCGACGCUGCGUGGAGGAUGAAGGCCCUCGGGUCGUAAACUCCUGUCAUGAGGGAAAAGGCGAGGGGAGCGAACACCUCCCUUAGUUGAUGGUACCUCAAGAGGAAGGGACGGCUAACUCUGUGCCAGCAGCCGCGGUAAUA